UCCACACCGUAAACGAUGAAUGCCAGACGUCAGCAAGUAUACUUGUUGGUGUCACACCUAACGGAUUAAGCAUUCCGCCUGGGGAGUACGGUCGCAAGAUUAAAACUCAAAGGAAUUGACGGGGGCCCGCACAAGCGGUGGAGCAUGUGGUUUAAUUCGACGCAACGCGCAGAACCUUACCAACCCUUGACAUCCUGUGCUACUACCAGAGAUGGUACGUUCCCUUCGGGG
rnacentral:rRNA from 1 species